rnacentral:rRNA from 1 species
UCGAUUCAGCCAUGCUAGUUGUACGGGUUUAGACCCGUAGCAAAUAGCUCCGUAACACGUGGUCAAACUACCCUCUGGACCGGGAUACCCUCGGGAAACUGAGGUCAAUCCCAGAUACUGCUUUCAUGUUGGAAUACAGAAAGUCGGAAACGGUCCGCCGCCGGAGGACGUGACUGCGGCCGAUUAGGUAGACGGUGGGGUAACGGCCCACCGUGCCGAUAAUCGGUACGGGUUGUGAGAGCAAGAACCCGGAGACGGUAUCUGAGACAAGAUACCGGGCCCUACGGGGCGCAGCAGGCGCGAAACCUUUACACUGCACGCCAGUGCGAUAAGGGGACCCCGAGUGCGAGGGCAUACAGUCCUCGCUUUUCGUGACCGUAAGAAGGUCUCAGAAUAAGAGCUGGGCAAGACCGGUGCCAGCCGCCGCGGUAAUACCGGCAGCUCGAGUGAUAGCCACUAUUAUUGGGCCUAAAGCGUCCGUAAG